UACGAAGGGUGCGAGCGUUGUCCGGAAUUAUUGGGCGUAAAGAGCUCGUAGGCGGUGUGUCGCGUCGGCCGUGAAAACCUGGGGCUUAACUCUGGGCGUGCGGUCGAUACGGGCAUCACUAGAGUUCGGCAGGGGAGACUGGAAUUCCUGGUGUAGCGGUGAAAUGCGCAGAUAUCAGGAGGAACACCGGUGGCGAAGGCGGGUCUCUGGGCCGAUACUGACGCUGAGGAGCGAGAGCAUGGGUAGCGAA
rnacentral:rRNA from 1 species